rnacentral:misc_RNA from 1 species
GAUGAAGAACGUAGCGAAAUGCGAUACGUAAUGUGAAUUGCAGAAUUCAGUGAAUCAUCGAAUCUUUGAACGCAUAUUGCGCUCUCUGGUAUUCCGGAGAGCAUGCUUGUUUGAGUAUCAGUAAACACCUCAACUUCCAUAUCUUUUUUGAAAUGGGAGUUGGACUUGAGUGAUCCCAACGCUUUUCCUCACCGAAAAGUGGCGGGUUACUUGAAAUGCAGGUGCAGCUGGACUUUUCUCUGAGCUAUAAGCAUAUCUAUUUAGUCUGCCUAAAAAACAGAUUAUUACCUGUGCUGCAGCUAACAUAAAGGAGAUUAGUUCUUGUGCUGACUGAUGCAGGAUUCACAAAGACAGGCUUCGGCCGACUUUGUAAACUCGAUCUCAAAUCAAGUAAGACUACCCGCUGAACUUAAGCAUAUCAAUAAGCGGAGGA